UGUGUGUGACUGUGUGUGUGUGUCUGUGUGUCUAUGUCUGUCUAUGUGUGCCUGUGUGUGUGUGUAGUGUGUGUGUCUGUAUGUCCACAAAAGCUCUUCUUUUUUAUUCUUUUCUUCUUUAAUAUAACAUCUUUCCUGUCAGGUUGGGCCCCUGUCAUCUCCCCAGGUCUCCCCCGUCACACACAAGAGGUCCCUGGCAGGGGUGUGACCGGCACCCCCAUGUUAAAUGCUUUGAUAAACACUGCCCCCGUUUGCUAUAAAAAGCCCCCUCCUCCGCCAUCCCACCCUCAUGGAGAAGCUCCUCAAAGUGGUCAGACAGAUAAAAGUCUCUGCUUGGACCCUCAGCUUUAUGGUGGACAGGAAAUUUCGGGAAAACAUUGGCAGGAAUGGUGGCUGCUGGGACACUUGUGCUGAUACCAGGUGCCGAAAGGUGCAGAGAUACAAUCAAACGCGACCUUUUGGCCGCUCAUGGUUCCACUUCCCAACAGACAGGGGGCUGGACACUUCAGGGACAUCGUUUUAGCUGUCCGUCACAAGCUGAUGAAGACCAUCCACGGGACUGAGUGCAACAGGAAGUGCAGGGUACUUCCGGCAUGACGUCAAUCAGUUGGUGGCCGUGCGCUGGAUCCCGUCUGGACACCGGGAAUAACCCACACUUAUGGAGGAAAGCACAACGCACCUGGUCUGGCCUGAAUGCGAGCGGUCCAAAGUUCUGGCUAAGUUGCACAUAUGCAGAUUUUGGGCUUUUCAUCACAAAGUUCCUGGGACAGGUUUGUUAUUUUUUGGGUCCCACUCAAAAAGUCACAGUGUAGUGAUAGUUUGCGGCCAACAGGGGGCCCCAAACCUUGGGACCCUACACAAAUGCAUGUGUUCCUGUCCAAAUAGGACUGCAGUCAUGGAUAAUUCCAGCUGAAUUCACAAAGCUUAGAUAUUGAAAAGGCCUUGUGUUGCUAACUGUGACCUACAGCGCAGGGACUGUUUUUGCACAGUAGAUAAAACACAUCAGCUUCCUGAGGGAGGUGCUCGUUUCCUGCCCCUAUCAGGGUGUAGCUUUGGUAACAAAGGCAGCUCUGCCAUGUCAGGAGGUCUGUGUCUGACCUGUUUCGCUCGCUGCCCCCAGGGCGAGCUUGCGAACCCUGUUCUGCUCGCUGCCCCCAGGGCGAGCUUGAAGACGCCAUUUCACUUGCCGCCCCCAGGGCCAGCUUGCAGACCCCGUUUCACUCAUCACCCCAGGGCCAGCUUGCGGACCCCGCUUUGUUCGCCGCCCCCAGGGCCAGCUUGCAGACCCCGUUUCGCUUGCCGCCCCCAGGGCCAGCUUGCAGACCCCGUUUCGCUCAUCACCCCAGGGCCAGCUUGCGGACCCCGCUUUGUUCGCCACCCCCAGGGCCAGCUUGCAGACCCCGUUUCGCUUGCCGCCCCCAGGGCCAGCUUGCAGACCCCGUUUCGCUCAUCACCCCGGGGCCAGCUUGCGGACCCCGCUUUGUUCACCGCCCCCAGGGCCAGCACGCACCGGUCAGAAAAUCUCCAUUUCUUACUUCCAACAUGUGGCCCUUUACACAGCAAAUAUCACAUCAUACCAGCGUGGUGGAACUGCACGGGGCAUCGUGAGCUGCUCAAACUCCACCCACAUCAGCUAUAAUAACUUUAGCAGAUUUCCCAGCUGGGGCCAGAGGGAAGUUAAUUAGGAUAAAGGGACUGGGGGUGGGGGGGGGGGGGCUGGUAAGCAGGUAUCAUGUGUCAAUCUAGUACGUCCUGCGUCUGGAUGGGGACCAGGAGGGUAAAUCAGGAGUGAAACCUGAUUGCACAGUUAAAGCCUAAAGCAGCGUGAUGUUUUCUUCCUGUUCUUUUAAUUAAAAAUAGAGCUGGACAGGUAAUUUUGGAAAAGCGGGGAGGGGGAGAUACACUGUAAGGGGAGCAGCAAGUCCCUCCUGCCUAGAGCCCGAGGAGGGCGACUUCAGCCCCUAGGCCCCCACUUACCCAUACCAUGGGAGAAGCUUUCUCAGCGAUGAUAAACUACACAGCAUUUCUGCUUCGGUGACGUUGAAAUGAAGUGGUUAAAGAUGCAGACGGUUAACAGAGGGUGAUGAAUGCGGCUUUAAGAGCUGCUCCUCCUGGCCGUAACUCGAUCCACCUGAGGCUGGGCGGCCGGCACCUCUGACGCCCCCCCCACCGCAUCUGGCUAUCCUGCUUCACGCCUCUACCCCGGCAUCUGGUUACCCGUUUCCAGGGAUACAGGAUACACCUCCGGCAGGCCCGUGGCUGUGAUCUGGCCCAAAAACUAGAGGGAGGUGCCUUCCAUGCCCCCCCCCAGCACAGGGUAGGAAGCCCCUCUCCUGCUCCACAGCCAGAGGAUUCAGCUGCUCCCGGUGAACUCCACCCCCAGCUCUCUCUCUGAUAGGGCGAGGCAGUGGUCCGCCUCCGGAGAAUGUCCCCCCAGCGUGACCCCAGAGGAUAUGGCACCUAAUUCAACACACCUCAAAAAGGCCCUGGGGGCAGGAUUACUGCAGUUACUCUGUGGGGUCACUCCGUUGGUGCAGAUUGAUGACGUCUGGGGCGGAGACCUGCACGGCGGCGUCAGCAUCUAGCAGCAUGGCGUCUGGCGUCCGUGCUCGAUCCUCGGUUUUAUUCUCCUUUUUGAUUCCUGCAGAUGUUUUCUCGUUUGUAUGGUUUAUAGAUGCCUUUGUGCUUAACGUUGGUGCACGUUUACACAGUGAUGGCUUACAGUAAGUGCGAGAACUUUUAUCCUAAACGACGAAUUGCUCAUUGUGGUAACCAGGAUACCGGUGCCUGACUCCUAAGGUGGUGGGGGCUCAGUUUGGAAUGAGCGCAUGUACAUUUACCACAAGCAGAAAUACUGAAUGUCUAGUCACAUCAGUUUAGGGGCAGGCAACCUAUGUACUUUUGGUUAGGACAGAGUAAUUCUCCUUUGGGGAUUAAAUGGACAGGUAGGUUAUUUAGACCCUUUUGCUUAUUGCUUUUCUGUGACGAUGCCUAUAGCCUCUCGCCGGUCAGGUAUUGUUUUUGCCCUUGUCAUUUGUCACUUUACUUGCCACACACGUUAAUAAAAGCAUAUCUUUCUGUUUUCAUCUUA